CGAUUUUAGAUCACUGGCAUUAUUUCCUGCUUUGGUACAUGUGCCUAAUAAUUCAAACAAAAUAGCUGUUCACGGUGAAUUAUUUGUUGGCACACAGCUGAACAAUCUUGACGGCGGAUGGAUAUGUACUGUAUUUCCGUCGCACAGUCACGCAGCUUCAGUUGGAGAAGAAGGGCGGUGGCGAGAGAAGCUCGUGAGAUGAGGCGAACAUCAAUCAACGCAAUGUACUGGCGAAGACCAUAUCAACAGAUGGACACCUCCGUUAGAGAAGUGUCACACUCUAAAGACAACAUUUUGAUCAUAAGAGGAGGUCCCCCCAACAAUAUUGUGAAUAUAUACGAUAAAUAGUUACCAUUGGUGGCAGACCAAAUCGUGACACAUCACUGAUGACAUCGAUGGUUAUUUUUGGGCUUUUGGCAGAACAUCCAACUUACUCAGUGUUUUGUUAGUCAGGUCUCUUGUUACAGCUGUCCAGCCUCUUGGAAACCCAGACUUCGGGGACUGUGCCUCUGGCUCAGUGGGGGCUGGUUCAGCUUAGUUAGAUGGGUGUGUUGGAUGUUUGGACAAUUAAAAUCUCAGUCACUAUACUACAAAAAGUUAAAGAUUACAGCAUUAAAGGUUUUGUCAGUUCACUGCUGUCAUCUGAAUAACAUAAGCGGUUAACAUCCUGUAUCUGGUCCACAGUAUAUAUAUAAUAUAGGUUGGGACCUGGUUGAACUGACUUUCAAUAGUCACGGUGGGUUACAGUCUUUGGCAUGACCUUCUGUACGUCAUUGCUGAAGUUGCUUUAGGUUGGUGAAGGACUUCGUGUUCAAGUUUGACAAUAGCAUUGACUUUGAUUUUUAUUGUUUAAUAUAUGUAUGAGAAUGGUACGCAAUUACUCCACCUUGAAUUUGUGGCGUUUCGACCUGCAUGUCUCGAGGCGGUCGAGCCUGUGUGUCUAGAGACGUUUCGGCCUACAUGUCUAGAGGCGGUCGAGCCUGUGUGUCUAGAGGCGUUUCGGCCUACAUGUCUAGAGGCGGUGGAGGCUGCGUGUCUAGAGGCGGUGGAGCCUGCAUGUCUGGAGGCGGUCGAGCCUGCAUGUCUCGAGGUCUCACUUGGCAAUUCGCAAUAGUGACCUGACCUUUCAACGCAGACCAGUUCAAGUUUUUUCCUAAAUGGAUUGUGUCCGACAGAAAGGUUGCGAUAUUAUAUACUGAGUGCCGAUUCUGCUUGUAAUACAACAUAACGGAACAGAAAUACACGUGUUAUUUCUUGUGCUACGUGUAGAUUUCCCCCGAUGUGUGAACCUUAUGUUCACACAUAACUUGAGCGGUACGUCGCCGUGGGUACUGAGCAUGCGGCCUGGCACGUUUCUUGUGGUCUGGACUGACUGCAAUUAGAUGAUAGUACAGCAGUGAUUGUAGCUGCUUGGAUUUGUUGGCGAUUCCUCAUGUCAUUCUUCCCACAUUAUUCAAUGCAGUAUGGAUUUUCUCGAUGCCGUGCUUGCCUUGAAAACCUAUGUAAGCAAAACACAAUGUCCUGAUCCACUCUACUACGUGAUCCUCAAGCACGCGCACUCGCCAUUUUAAGCUCUGUCGUGUAGCGUCACAAUAGCGUGUGGCUGAGAAUCUGACUGAGUUUUUUUGGUUCUGAGCGAUGCUCUUCUUGUACGUGGAAGGCAGCGGCUUUCCAAGAAGGACUUGGGGGCUAAGUCGUUGCUUGAAGAAAGUUUUGCGCUGUCCACGCGAAACAUGAACAGCACGGUCUUCGCCUGUUACAUACCACUUUAUUCGGACAAGCUUCUCUUCUCCUUCAACUUCCAUUUGCAGUCCAUUCUGCUGAAGCUCUGUCAUCUCCUCAAAGACUCUUGCUCCAGCCUUGACCUGCUCUUCAUAAUCUUCUUUUCAAAUAUUGGGUGAGCAAUGUCCUUAGUGGCUUAGUCUAAUAUACAGUAUCAAGAAUGGCAACAGCUAUGUUCACACAAGAAGAAGAAUUUAUACAGCUCUAUCAGUACCAGACUUCACCACAAAGGUGUGAUGAACAUGUCAUAAAGUGGAACCUUAAAUAGUGACAAUAUGUUGCUUAUACUUGAAGUAAGGUCUGAUGUUUACAUUGAUGCUAUUCUUUUCAUUUGUCGUAUUAGAUCAAGUAUACCUUGGCAAUAACAUAUAUAUUUGGAGCAUUGUCUUCUUCACAUUUAAUUCUGCUCUUUGUAUUUUGAAUAAAAAAUUACAAGGCA